rnacentral:rRNA from 1 species
AUGGUUCCUGCUCUUCCAACACACAUUGCCACUGUCUCCCUUCUCUCCUUUUUCACGUUAGUCUCGAGCGCUGCGAAUCGAGACAUACUGCGACCGGGAACCUCCCUCGCCGUUGAAGCCUACCAAAGUGAAAUCCUGCAAUCACCGGAUGGCAGCUUCUCCUGUGGCUUCUACGGCGUCUACGGCAACGCCUUCACCUUCUCAAUAUGGUACUCCAAGGCAGCCAACAAGACCGUCGUCUGGAGUGCGAACCGCGACCGCCCCGUCCACUCCAGGAGGUCAGCCCUGACCUUGCACAAGGAUGGCAACAUGGUCCUCACAGAUUACGAUGACGCGGUUGUGUGGCAAGCUGAUGAUGAUGGCAACUCCCGCAGAAAUGUUCAGCAUGUUCAGCUGCUGGACACUGGGAAUCUCGUAAUGAAGAACACCAGCGGCAGGAUAAUAUGGCAAAGUUUCGAUUCACCGACAGACACGCUCCUACCAGCCCAGCGCAUCAUGGCUGCGACAAACUUGGUCCCAACAACCCAGUCGCAUGCUCCUGGUAACUACAUCUUCCGUUUCAAUGAUAUAUCAGUGCUGUCACUUAUAUACGAUGUUCCCGAGGUUUCGGAUAUAUACUGGCCAAACCCUGAUAACAGUGUGUACGAAAAUAACAGAAGCCGGUAUAACAGUACUAGAUUGGCAAUUCUAGACAAUAAUGGGAUCCUUGCAUCUAGUGAUUUUGCUGAUGGAGUGCUACUUAAGGCCUCUGAUGCAGCGCCGGGGAUUAGGAGAAGGCUAACUCUUGAUCCUGAUGGUAAUCUCCGGCUGUACAGCCUGAACGACUCAGAUGGGAUGUGGUCAGUUUCAAUGGUAGCAAUCUCCCAACCUUGUACUAUCCAUGGUAUAUGCGGUCAGAAUGGAAUCUGUCAUUACUCGCCUGAACCAACGUGUUCAUGCCCACCGGGUUAUGUGAUGACCAACCCGGGUAACUGGACCCAAGGCUGCACGGCUAGUUUCAACAUACCAUGUCAUGAUCAGGAACCUAUGAAGUUUGUGAAACUCCCGCACACGGAUUUCUGGGGAUCUGAUCAGAAGCGCCUUCUGGGAGUUUCCUUUGAGACUUGUAGGAACAGUUGCAUCAGUGACUGCACCUGCAAAGGCUUUCAAUACCAGCAAGGUGCAGGGUCAUGCUACCCGAAAGCUCUUCUUUUCAAUGGAAAGAGCUGUGCGACACCCAGCGUGCGAACAAUAUAUCUCAAACUUCCUGCCAGGUUGAAUGUUUCAGAUACACCUAUUCCUCAGUCCAAUGUAUUGGAUCCUGCGCCUCCUCGUCUCGACUGCAAUCAGAUGAGCAGAGGAAUCAGAUAUCCAUUUCCAGAUUUGCACAAAACUGGAGAUGAAGAAUUAAAUUGGUUGUACUUCUACAGUUUCAUAGUUGCAAUUUUUGUUUUUGAGGCUUCUUUCAUAACAUUCGCAUGGUUCUUUGUCUUGAGAAGAGAGAUGAGGCCAUCAGAAAUGUGGGCUGCUGAGGAAGGUUACAGGGUGAUGACUAGCCAUUUUCGAAGAUACAGUUACAGAGAGCUUGUUGAGGCAACAAGAAAGUUCAGAGUUGAGCUAGGAAGGGGAAGCUCAGGCACUGUGUAUAAAGGUGUCCUAGAAGAUGAAAGGCCAGUGGCUGUGAAGAAGCUGGAAAAUGUAAGUCGAGGCAAGGAAGAGUUUCAAGCUGAGCUGAGCGUAAUUGGGAGGAUCUACCACAUGAAUUUGGCCAGAAUAUGGGGGUUUUGCUCAGAAGGGUCACACAGGCUGUUGGUUUGUGAGUACGUGGAGAAUGGAUCCCUGGCAAACAUUUUGUUCAAGGACCAAAAAACUGUCGUGCUGGACUGGAAGCAAAGGUUUAAUAUCGCAUUGGGUGUCGCGAAAGGAUUGGCCUAUCUUCACCAUGAGUGCUUAGAAUGGGUCAUCCAUUGUGAUGUGAAACCUGAGAAUAUAUUGUUGGACACAAACUUUGAGCCUAAGAUCACUGACUUUGGGUUGGCAAAGUUGCUAAACAGAGGCGGAGCCACACAGAACAUGUCACAGGUGCGAGGAACGAUAGGUUACAUAGCUCCUGAGUGGGUUUCAAGCCUCCCAAUCACGGCGAAAGUCGAUGUUUAUAGUUACGGAGUUGUUUUGCUUGAGCUUUUAUCUGGGACAAGAGUUUCAGAGCUGGCCGUAGGUUCAGGUGCAGAGGUGCAUAGCAUGCUGCAGAAGCUUGUCAGGGUGCUUGCUGAUAAACUGGGAGGACAUAAAGAAUCAUCGAUUAAUGAAUUUGUUGACCCUGAAUUGGGUGGACGAUUCAGCUAUGUCCAAGCAAGAACAAUGCUCAAGUUGGCUGUUUCCUGCUUGCAGGAAGAUAGAAACAAGAGGCCAACCAUGGAAUCUGUAGUCCAGACUCUCCUGCCGUUUGACGAAGCUAGUAGUUAG